GACGAACGCUGGCGGCGUGCCUAAUACAUGCAAGUAGAACGCUGAAGAGAGGAGCUUGCUCUUCUUGGAUGAGUUGCGAACGGGUGAGUAACGCGUAGGUAACCUGCCUUGUAGCGGGGGAUAACUAUUGGAAACGAUAGCUAAUACCGCAUAACAAUGGAUGACACAUGUCAUUUAUUUGAAAGGGGCAAUUGCUCCACUACAAGAUGGACCUGCGUUGUAUUAGCUAGUAGGUGAGGUAAUGGCUCACCUAGGCGACGAUACAUAGCCGUCCUGAGAGGGUGAUCGGCCACACUGGGACUGAGACACGGCCCAGACUCCUACGGGAGGCAGCAGUAGGGAAUCUUCGGCAAUGGGGGCAACCCUGACCGAGCAACGCCGCGUGAGUGAAGAAGGUUUUCGGAUCGUAAAGCUCUGUUGUAAGUCAAGAACGGGUGUGAGAGUGGAAAGUUCACACUGUGACGGUAGCUUACCAGAAAGGGACGGCUAACUACGUG
rnacentral:rRNA from 1 species